GCCUGGGUGGCUCAGUUGGUUGAGCGUCUGACUUCGGUUCAGAUCAUGAUCUCGUGGUUUGUGGGUUCGAGGCCUGCAUUGGGCU
rnacentral:tRNA from 1 species